rnacentral:rRNA from 1 species
AACGAACGCUGGCGGCAGGCUUAACACAUGCAAGUCGAACGGGCGUAGCAAUACGUCAGUGGCAGACGGGUGAGUAACACGUGGGAAUAUCCCUUUCUGCUCGGAAUAACUCAGGGAAACUUGAGCUAAUACCGAAUACGUCCUUCGGGAGAAAGAUUUAUCACUGAGAGAUUAGCCCGCGUCUGAUUAGCUAGUUGGUGAGGUAAUGGCUCACCAAGGCGACGAUCAGUAGCUGGUCUGAGAGGAUGAUCAGCCACACUGGGACUGAGACACGGCCCAGACUCCUACGGGAGGCAGCAGUGGGGAAUAUUGGACAAUGGGGGCAACCCUGAUCCAGCCAUGCCGCGUGAGUGAUGAAGGCCUUAGGGUUGUAAAGCUCUUUUGCUAGGGAAGAUAAUGACUGUACCUAGAGAAUAAGCCCCGGCUAACUUCGUGCCAGCCGCCGCGGUAA